rnacentral:rRNA from 1 species
UACGUAGGGUGCGAGCGUUAAUCGGAAUUACUGGGCGUAAAGCGUGCGCAGGCGGUGAUGUAAGACAGAUGUGAAAUCCCCGGGCUUAACCUGGGAACUGCAUUUGUGACUGCAUCGCUGGAGGGCGGCAGAGGGGGAUGGAAUUCCGCGUGUAGCAGUGAAAUGCGUAGAUAUGCGGAGGAACACCGAUGGCGAAGGCAAUCCCCUGGGCCUGCACUGACGCUCAUGCACGAAAGCGUGGGGAGCAAACAGG